ACUGAAAUACAUCUCGCGACCCCCCAUUGGUGUCCCUCGACCCCCCAGGGGGUCCUGACCCACACUUUGGGAACCCCUGUGGUAGAGUUCGCCUGUUUGCUAGAUGAUGUUUUAGCUCCUUAUGCUAAACCUGUGCUGUUAACUUCAGCUGAUACCAACCACGCUGCUCAUGGAGGACAGAAAGCUCAGCCAGACGCUAAUUAAGGUUACUUUGGUUAUGUCUAUUAGAAAUGCGUUAGGUUUAGUAUUGUGGGGUCCAGUGUAACAAUAACAAAUGUACAAAAGUGCUGUUUCUCUCACCGCGUUGGGUGUUACCAUUGUGAAGGGAAGUACUCACCUGAUGUCAGACUGCAGCUUGUCCUCCCUCCAACAAUGACUGCAGUGCCAUCUUGUGAAUGAAAGAGGAAACUGCUGCCUACAGAGCAGGUGCAUACCGAGCAGGUGGGCCCUUACGUAGGGGCCUUCGGGGUUUGAAGCUGGAGUAAACCAUCCCUCUACACUAUUUUCGGACCUGAGAGAGAUGCCAGACAAAUGGAAGGGGAAACAACAGAAAACCUGUUUGGGGGAUUGGUGGUGAGAACUGAAAAGGAGCAACAGCAACAGCAUCGGAGGGAGGAACAAUGGAGGAGACAGAAAGAGUAAAGGAGACGUGACCAACAUGUCACUGGUGGGCUGUUGGACAACCAAAAUCCAUGAUAUUUCUCCACUGUGAGACUGAUCUUCAAACUAAAAGCAAGACAUUCCUGUGACAGGUCAGAUUAGUUGAGAGGUACAGAGUCCAUUUUGUCACUUAUCUGCAAUAAGGGCACCACAGGUACAGAUCUUCAUUGCCUCCAUGCAUCAUCUUUCCCAUUUUCAUUUCACAAACAAGCAUCACAUCACUCCUGUCCUUCCCAGCCUACAUUGGUUGCCUGUUUUUUAUUGUGUUAAUCUGAAGUUUUAUUGAUUACCUUUGAAGCUGUUAAUGGAUUUACUCUGAAAUAUUUAAGAGACCUUUUGACCCUUGAAGAUCCACGCUGCUCUGAUGGAUGAUCCGGGCUUGUAACCAAAGGUAACUGUGCCUUUGCAGUUAGAGCCCCAACACUGUGGAACUGUUUGCCAUUAACGAUUCAAGAGUCCACAUCUUUUGAUGCUUUUAAGUCCUUUCUCAAAACUGUCUUAUUUUAAGGAGAGCUUUUCUGAAUCCUUAAUUCUUCUGAUCUGAUAAACCUGUCUUUUGAUGUCCUGUAUUUUCAUCUGUCCUAAUGUUGCUCUUUUUUAUCUGCUUUCUUUUGA